rnacentral:rRNA from 1 species
GCNAGGUUACGAAUUCGCCCCUUAGAGUUUGAUCAUGGNCUCAGGAUGAACGCUAGCGGCAGGCUUAACACAUGCAAGUCGAGGGGCAGCAUGUCCAGCAAUGGAUGAUGGCGACCGGCGGAAGGGUGCGUAACGCGUGAGCAACAUGCCCUAUACAGGGAGAUACACCAGGGAAACUUGGUCUAAUAUCCCAUAGCAUUCAUUGAAGGCAUCUUUAAUGAAUUAAAGCUUCGGUGGUAUAGGAUUGGCUCGCGUGACAUUAGCCAGAUGGUGAGGUAACGGCUCACCAUAGCAAUGAUGUCUAGGGGUUUUGAGAGGAAGGCCCCCCACACUGGGACUGAGACACGGCCCAGACUCCUACGGGAGGCAGCAGUGAGGAAUAUUGGACAAUGGAUGGAAAUCUGAUCCAGCCAUGCCGCGUGCAGGAAGACGGCCUUAUGGGUUGUAAACUGCUUUUAUACGGGAGCAAUAAGGGUUACGAGUAAUCCGAUGAGAGUACUGUAUGAAUAAGGAUCGGCUAACUCCGUGCCAGCAGCCGCGGUAAUACGGAGGAUCCGAGCGUUAUCCGGAAUUAUUGGGUUUAAAGGGUGCGUAGGCGGCCAUUUAAGUCAGCGGUGAAAUUUUGCAGCUUAACUGUAACAGUGCCGUUGAUACUGUUUGGCUAGGAUUUGGUUGUAGUGUGCGGAAUGUGUGGUGUAGCGGUGAAAUGCUUAGAUAUCACACAGAACACCGAUUGCGAAGGCAGCACACUAAGUCAUUAUUGACGCUGAGGCACGAAAGUGUGGGGAUCAAACAGGAUUAGAUACCCUGGUAGUCCACACUGUAAACGAUGAUAACUCGCUGUCGGCGA